rnacentral:lncRNA from 1 species
CGGACAAGGGUGUAUAUAAGGCUUGAGCCCGUGACCUGCUCGUCAAAUGCAAUAACUUUACCAAUUACUUAAAGGCUCCCUUUCAGAGCAGUAUAAAAAUAAUAGUAAUAAUUUUACCUGUGAGUGAGAGAGCAAGAGCUAAAGAACCAGAGAGCAAGAAAUUCAAAGUUUUUGAUGAAAAUUCCGAUAUUUUGGAUAAUAUGGGAGGUAGAUUUUCAUUCCGGAUUGAAAUUCUGAAAUGGGAAUGUGAUGCUUUGAUGGAAUUUGAAGAAAAAGGAGAGUGAUUAAUGUUGGGGAAUGCUAGAGAUGACGGAAGGUGGAAAAGAGAAGCCAUUUUCCUCUGUUGCAUAGAAGUUUUACAGGUAUCCUCUCUAGAAUAUUGUGCUUCAUUUAUUCACCGCUUUUUCUUUCUUUUCUUUGGAAAAAAAA